rnacentral:rRNA from 1 species
UACGUAGGUGGCAAGCGUUGUUCGGAAUUACUGGGCGUAAAGGGCUCGUAGGCGGCCAACUAAGUCGGACGUGAAAUCCCCAGGCUCAACCUGGGAACUGCGUCCGAUACUGGAUGGCUUGAAUUCGGGAGAGGGAUGCAGAAUUCCAGGUGUAGCGGUGAAAUGACGUAGAUAUCUGGAGGAACACCGGUGGCGAAGGCGGCAUCCUGGACCGGUAUUGACGCUGAGGAGCGAAAGCCAGGGGAGCAAAGCGGG